rnacentral:rRNA from 1 species
GGUUAAGCUACUAAGAGCACACGGAGGAUGCCUAGGCGCUAGGAGCCGAUGAAGGACGUGGCGAACAACGAAACUGCCUCGGGGAGCUGUAAGCAAGCUUUGAUCCGGGGGUGUCCGAAUGGGGAAACCCGGCUGUGGUAAUACGCAGUCACCGCUGCCUGAAUAUAUAGGGCAGUGGGAGGCAUACCAGGGGAACUGAAACAUCUAAGUACCCUGAGGAAGAGAAAACAAGAGUGAUUCCGUCAGUAGCGGCGAGCGAACGCGGAACAGCCUAAACCAGAGAGCUUGCUCUCUGGGGUUGUGGGACGUCUCACAUGGAGUUACAAAGGAACAGAUUAGACGAAGAGGUCUGGAAAGGCCCGCCAGAGAAGGUAAAAGCCCUGUAAUUGAAAGUGUGUUCCCUCCGAGACGGAUCCCGAGUAGUGCGGGGCACGUGAAACCCCGUAUGAAUCUGCCAGGACCAUCUGGUAAGGCUAAAUACUCCCUAGCGACCGAUAGUGAAGCAGUACCGUGAGGGAAAGGUGAAAAGCACCCCGGAAGGGGAGUGAAAUAGAACCUGAAACCGUGUGCUUACAAAAAGUCAGAGCCCGAUCUAUGGGUGAUGGCGUGCCUUUUGUAGAAUGAACCGGCGAGUUACGUUCCCAUGCAAGGUUAAGGCGAGAAGCUGUAGCCGUAGCGAAAGCGAGUCUGAAUAGGGCGCUUAAGUAUGUGGACGUAGACCCGAAACCGUGUGAUCUACCCCUGUCCAGGGUGAAGGUGCGGUAACACGCACUGGAGGCCCGAACCCACGUAUGUUGAAAAAUGCGGGGAUGAGGUGGGGGUAGCGGAGAAAUUCCAAUCGAACUCGGAGAUAGCUGGUUCUCCCCGAAAUAGCUUUAGGGCUAGCCUCGGAAUUAGAGUCGUGGAGGUAGAGCACUGAUUGGGUGCGGGGCCCGCAAGGGUUACCAAGCUCAGUCAAACUCCGAAUGCCAUAGACUUAUAUCCGGGAGUCAGACAGUGAGUGCUAAGAUCCAUUGUCAAGAGGGAAACAGCCCAGACCAUCAGCUAAGGUCCCCAAGUGUGUGUUAAGUGGGAAAGGAUGUGGAGUUGCACAGACAACCAGGAUGUUGGCUUAGAAGCAGCCACCAUUUAAAGAGUGCGUAAUAGCUCACUGGUCGAGUGACUCUGCGCCGAAAAUGUAACGGGGCUAAACACACCACCGAAGCUAUGGCUUGAUGCUUUUGCAUCAGGGGUAGGGGAGCGUUGUAUGUAGGUUGAAGGUGUACCGUAAGGAGCGCUGGACAGCAUACAAGUGAGAAUGCCGGUAUGAGUAACGAAAAGAUCAGUGAGAAUCUGAUCCGCCGAAAGCCCAAGGUUUCCUGAGGAAGGUUCGUCCGCUCAGGGUAAGUCGGGACCUAAGGUGAGGCCGAAAGGCGUAAUCGAAGGACAACAGGUUGAAAUUCCUGUACCACCGUAAACCGUUAUGAACGAUGGGGUGACGCAGGAGGGUAGUGACGCGGACUGAUGGAUGUCCGUCCAAGCAGUGAGGCUGAUGUGUAGGCAAAUCCGCACAUCGAUAAGGCUGGGCUGUGAUGGGGAGUGAAAAUUAUAGUAGCGAAGGUCAUGAUCUCACACUGCCAAGAAAAGCCUCUAGUCAGGUGAAGGUGCCCGUACCGCAAACCGACACAGGUAGGCGAGAAGAGAAUUCUAAGGCGCGCGGAAGAACUCUCGUUAAGGAACUCGGCAAAAUGACCCCGUAACUUCGGGAGAAGGGGUGCCCCGGUAGUGUGAAUAGCACGAGGGGGCCGCAGUGAAAAGGCCCAAGCGACUGUUUAACAAAAACACAGGUCUGUGCGAAGCCGUAAGGCGAAGUAUACGGGCUGACGCCUGCCCGGUGCUGGAAGGUUAAGGGGAGUGGUUAGGAGCAAUCCGAAGCUAUGAACCGAAGCCCCAGUAAACGGCGGCCGUAACUAUAACGGUCCUAAGGUAGCGAAAUUCCUUGUCAGGUAAAUUCUGACCCGCACGAAUGGCGUAACGAUUUGGGCGCUGUCUCAACGAGAGAUCCGGUGAAAUUUUAAUACCUGUGAAGAUGCAGGUUACCCGCGACAAGACGGAAAGACCCCAUGGAGCUUUACUGCAGCUUGAUAUUGGAUUUGGGUACGAUCUGUACAGGAUAGGUGGGAGCCUAAGAAACAGGAGCGCAAGCUUCUGUGGAGGCGCCGUUGGGAUACCACCCUGAUCGUAUCUAGGUUCUAACCUAGUACCGUGAACCGGUGCGGGGACAGUGUCUGGUGGGCAGUUUGACUGGGGCGGUCGCCUCCUAAAGAGUAACGGAGGCGCCCCAAGGUUCCCUCAGAAUGGUUGGAAAUCAUUCGAAGAGUGCAAAGGCAUAAGGGAGCUUGACUGCGAGACCUACAAGUCGAGCAGGGACGAAAGUCGGGCUUAGUGAUCCGGUGGUACCGCAUGGAAGGGCCAUCGCUCAACGGAUAAAAGCUACCCUGGGGAUAACAGGCUUAUCUCCCCCAAGAGUCCACAUCGACGGGGAGGUUUGGCACCUCGAUGUCGGCUCAUCGCAUCCUGGGGCUGAAGUAGGUCCCAAGGGUUGGGCUGUUCGCCCAUUAAAGCGGUACGCGAGCUGGGUUCAGAACGUCGUGAGACAGUUCGGUCCCUAUCUGUCGUGGGCGUAGGAAAUUUGAGAGGAGCUGUCCUUAGUACGAGAGGACCGGGAUGGACGUACCGCUGGUGCACCAGUUGUUCCGCCAGGAGCAUGGCUGGGUAGCUACGUACGGAAGGGAUAAGCGCUGAAAGCAUCUAAGCGUGAAGCCCCCCUCAAGAUGAGAUUUCCCAACUAGUAAGACCCCUUGAAGACGACGAGGUAGAUAGGUUGGAGGUGGAAGUGCAGCAAUGCAUGGAGCUGACCAAUACUAAUCGGUCGAGGGCUUAUCCUA